CGUGUAAUUGGCAACGAUACUUUCCAGGCAGGCGUAUCGGCAGUGCUCCAAUUAACGCGCUGUUGUAAGCGACCCAAAAUUCUUCCGCGUUCGAGGGCUUGCAUAGUGAGCGCUUGAGCAAGAGGCAACAGGGGAAAAGAGAAAAAAAGACAAAAAACCUAACGGCACAUAAAUCUCCGUGCGAAGCCUGUCGACGAAUCAUCCGGCCUUGACAAGUCAAAGCUGUCGGACACACCACCAAGUAUGCCACUCACAUCUCGACACUAUACUGCCUUCACACGUGUGCGUUCGCUGUUGAAGAGUGAACGGGUGCAUCGAAUGGGUGCAAAACAUAUAUAGUCUUGGCCAUCGCUGGAACGUGUUCGUUGUACGAUGUGCCGACAAGGCACGCAGUGUCCAGCCGCUCAAGUGUGCUCGCGAAUCGGAACAUGCACCAUGGCGCACUAAAAUGGUUACAGGGCACAACAAAACUAAAAAAAAAACUAGUGCCUAUAGGUUUUAGGGGCUGUAAGAAAGCCGCUUCCAGUCCCUCUAGUAUACAAGGCGCUUCCAUUGUGGCGGGCGGCAUACUCCCAGAAAUUUUAUGAGGUUUGAUAGGUAAAUGUCUACAGUGCGCGAACAGUCAACGCAAAAUAUAAUUUUUACGCUGCAAUAAUGAAUAAAGGAGUACGAAGAUCACCCCUUC